AGAGUUUGAUCAUGGCUCAGAACGAACGCUGGCGGCAGGCUUAACACAUGCAAGUCGAACGGGCGUGAGCAAUCACGCCAGUGGCAGACGGGUGAGUAACGCGUGGGAACAUACCCUCCGGUUCGGAAUAGCUCAGGGAAACUUGGAUUAAUACCGGAUACGGCCGUGAGGCGAAAGAUUUAUCGCCGGAGGAUUGGCCCGCGUUCGAUUAGCUUGUUGGUGAGGUAACGGCUCACCAAGGCGAUGAUCGAUAGCUGGUCUGAGAGGAUGAUCAGCCACAUUGGGACUGAGACACGGCCCAAACUCCUACGGGAGGCAGCAGUGGGGAAUAUUGGACAAUGGGCGCAAGCCUGAUCCAGCCAUGCCGCGUGAGUGAUGAAGGCCUUAGGGUUGUAAAGCUCUUUCGCUCGGGACGAUAAUGACGGUACCGAGAUAAGAAGCCCCGGCUAACUUCGUGCCAGCAGCCGCGGUAAUACGAAGGGGGCUAGCGUUGUUCGGAAUUACUGGGCGUAAAGCGCGUGUAGGCGGGUCUUUAAGUCAGGGGUGAAAUGCCAAGGCUCAACCUUGGAACUGCCUUUGAUACUGGAGACCUUGAGUCCGGGAGAGGUGAGUGGAAUUGCGAGUGUAGAGGUGAAAUUCGUAGAUAUUCGCAAGAACACCAGUGGCGAAGGCGGCUCACUGGCCCGGAACUGACGCUGAGACGCGAAAGCGUGGGGAGCAAACAGGAUUAGAUACCCCCGUAGUCC
rnacentral:rRNA from 1 species